GGUUCCCGUAUGAUCACCAAAGUUAAGCAACGCUGAGCCUGGUUAGUAUCUAGAUGGGUGACCACUUGAGAAUACCAGGUGCUGUAAG